GGACUUGCGGCCUAAUGGAUAAGGCGUCGGACUUCGGAUCCGAAGAUUGCAGGUUCG
rnacentral:tRNA from 1 species